rnacentral:rRNA from 1 species
UGGGGAAUUUUGGACAAUGGACGAAAGCCUGACCCAGCGACGCCGCGUGGGUGAUGAAGGCCUUCGGGUCGUAAAGCCCUGUCAGAAGGAAAGAACGAUCUUGUGGUGAAUACCCAUGAGAUGUGACGGUACCUUCGAAGGAAGCACCGGCCAAUUCCGUGCCAGCAGCCGCGGUAAGACGGAAGGUGCAAGCGUUGCUCGGAAUCACUGGGCGUAAAGGGUGCGUAGGCGGCUUCUUAAGUCUGGUGUGAAAGCCCAGGGCUCAGCUCUGGAAGUGCACUAGAUACUGGGAAGCUUGAGUAUCGGAGGGGAGAGUGGAAUUCCUGGUGUAGCGGUGAAAUGCGUAGAUAUCAGGAGGAAUACCGGUGGCGAAGGCGGCCACCUGGUUGGAUACUGACGCUGAGACGCGAAAGCGUGGGGAGCAAACAGGAUUAGAUACCCCCGUAGUCCCUGAGCGGGCUGGCAAGGCGCAU